rnacentral:rRNA from 1 species
CCUACGGGAGGCAGCAGUGAGGAAUAUUGGUCAAUGGGAGAGAUCCUGAACCAGCCAAGCCGCGUGAGGGAAGACGGCCCUAUGGGUUGUAAACCUCUUUUGUCGGAGAACAAAACCCGGGACGUGUCCCGGACUGCGUGUAUCCGAAGAAAAAGCAUCGGCUAACUCCGUGCCAGCAGCCGCGGUAAUACGUAGGGGGCGAGCGUUAUCCGGAUUCACUGGGUGUAAAGGGAGCGUAGACGGCCAUGCAAGCCAGGGGUGAAAGCCCGGGGCCCAACCCCGGGACUGCCCUUGGAACUGCAUGGCUGGAGUGCGGGAGGGGCAGGCGGAAUUCCUGGGGUAGCGGUGAAAUGCGUAGAUAGCAGGAGGAACACCGGCGGCGAAGGCGGCCUGCUGGACCGCGACUGACGUUGAGGCUCGAAAGCGUGGGGAGCGAACAGGAUUAGAUACCCUUGUAGUC